UUGAGAGCCUGUGAGCACUGCAAGCACUUUGAUACUUUGCACCUCUUCAACGGAUGGUAGCUUCUUCAGAUGGCUGUCGCUGCUAUUUACAGUACCGGAGGGCUGGAGGAUGGGAUACUACUAGGAGUCCUCUAAUUGCUCGUCUAAUACUGGCUUUCAAACACCAUUUCUUGCUUCUUUCAGCAGAAAUAGGACUCCUCUCUCUCUAACAUACAGCAGCUAGACAAAGUUCCAGUUUCUUACCUGGACCUGGGAAACCAAGUCUCAUCAGAUCAUAUCAACAAUUGAGGAGAGGCUUGGUUUGGACAGGAAUCUACAAACCACUUCAUGCUGGGGAGUGGUGAGUACAGAAGGCUUCUGUUCUGUCUGAACAAGCUCAGCAGGAGGUUAAUGGGAUGGGUUAAUGUGCUAAUUGGAUCUUUCAGUGUUGGCUCAGUUGCCGGUGUGAGGACUCAUAUGGUGACAAGGAACUCACACAGAAUUUGGCCCCUUGGUCAGAGGUGGUCCUUCUCUGGCUCCAAACACAGUGGCACAUUACUUGGCUCCUGAACUUUUAUAGUGCACCCUGGAUUUCAGCCCAGAAGGCAACACUUGGCUGACCCCAGCAUCCCCUUAAAGGAAAAGUCUUGGUCUGAGCCACUGCUGCUGGGCUGCAAUAGUGACUCAAGUCACAGCUAACAUGAAAUGAGUGUAAUUUUUUGUGAAUUCCUUGGGCCCAACAGUGCCAGCUGGCUUCUGUGGGGAGAGUGCAAUGAUGCUCUUGGCACUGGCUUUCUUCAGUACAGAUACUGCAUGAGUAUAUGGGAAGAGAUAGCUGUCCACGGUGCCAGAAGUCCCUGGCACUGCUGCCACCAGUAAAUGAGUCUCACCGUGUAUUCUUGGGACAACUCCCUGACAAACAGGAGAAGAGGACACUGUGCUAUUAGAAUGCAGAUGAACUUUAAGAAGGAGGAAAAAAACCCAGCUUGGGUUUCCAUUAGGGCCUAGUUGCCCAAAUCUCCUUUCCUUGUGAUAUGAGCCAGCUAGAUUGCAUGCUAACCUCCAAGGGUCGGGUUUGCAUCCUGCGUCCCCAGUGCUUAUAUACCCUUCUCUCUCAAGGAUUCAGAUUAUCCCACUUCCCCUUUUCUACAGGACAAUGUACAUGCCGAUUUUACUGCAAAGAGAAAUCAGUAUCACAUUCCCUCCCUUGGUUGCAAGGGUUUCAGUGAUUUUGGCUCACUUUUCAGCUUGGACUGUUUAUUGUACCACAGGGGCAACUGGCUAUUUUAGUAUUUGAAUUCUGCUCCUUGCCAGCCCACAAGGUCACAUCCCUUAGUGAUUUCAAGUAGGGAUUUCAUGCUUGCUUCCUUGCACUGCUUUUGUACUUCUCUGUCCUUUCCAGAACCAGAGUAAAAAAUGUCAUUAUACUUCUUGCACUGUGCCCAGUUCAUUUGGGAAAGACUCAGCUGAAGUUAUUGGUGCUGUGCUGAUUUAUACUGCCUGAAGAUCUUUCCCAGUGUUCAUGUUGAGAAAUUAGUUGUAUUUUUUCCUCAGAAUGUGUCUGGCAACUGUCUGAAGGUUAAAAACAAUAACUAACCAAUAUAAAAGUCAAUUAUUUGAAUCAGAAACUUUGGGAGUUGGCUGCUUUCAUCUUCAGAGAAUUCUCUUGCCACUCACACAAAAAUGAAGAUUGAUGGAGACAUAGCAGAUGAACAAAUGAGAGACAUGUAACAAACUGAAUGCCACACCUGCAUUGUAUGAUCUUUACAUGAUGGACUAUUAUACACACUGUAUAUCUGAUGACAGGAGACGAAUAUUUCACUCUGGACUGGAAGCAAGGUGUCUGUCUCCAUUUCUGCUUGGAGAAAAGAAUUCCCUUUUCUGACGGAAACUUGUGAACCUAUGUUGUUUGCAAGCCUUAUGCAGACAAAAUAUUACACAACUGCAGAACAAGCUUAGGAGAAAAGCACUGUCACCCACUGUUUGAGCAAUCCUUUAAUAUUUCCUAGCCAGCUCACAGAAUUUAAAUUAUAUUCAUUAAGCAAAAUAUCAUGAAUUGGAAAAAAAAGAAAAAAGAAAAAACCCAACAGUGCUGGAGGCAAAGAAUGAGAGUCUGAGCUUGUUGUUUGAACAAGUUGAAGGACAGAUGCAAACGAAGUUAGAUCAAAAUCAUUAACAACUGACAGCUCAGUAUUCAGCUUUCAGUGUCUCUGCAUGUCAAACAAAUAUAUUUUAUUGGAUUUUUUUUAAGUUGAAAACUUGUGAAACAAGGCACUCCAUGUGGGGAAGCUUUAUGUGCCAAUCCUGCAGUCCAAGAAGCUGGUAUAAGAAGAGGGAGUUCCCACUUUUAUAUAGAAAAUCAUAGGGGUUAGGGUCACAAGUCAGUGGACCAAAGGAGGGAACAGGUAAAAGGUAAAGAAACGUCAACACAUAAAUAUACUCAGUGCCUUAGCUUCCCUUACCCCCCAACCUCUGGAAAUGUCCUCAAACCACCCUUUAGUCUCUAGAGCACUCAAACCGCAGCCUGCAGCAACCCCCAGUCUGAGUCCAGCUCCUUUAGCCCCCAGUCCUGGUGACCGAGCCAGUGAGAUCUCCAGCUUCACUGCGCGCUCCUCUGUGCGGGGCUGACCAGGCUCCACGUGCACCCUGCUUUCUCUUCCCCUUACUCCAGCCUCAAAGUUUCUUCUUCCUUUUCUCCUUGCCUCCCCAAGUCCCUGGGGGUUUCUGGGAUUGCAGUCCAAAUUAACAGUCAGAAUAGCUCUGCAGACUGUCCCCGGUUCCUCCUGCUGGUACAUGCGUUACAUUCACAUUACACUUGUUUACCUCCAGCAUGCUCAGUCUCUUUUUUGGCCACCAUCUGUUUUCAGAAGAGGGUUUGCAAGCUCUCUGCAAAUUGUGAAUAAGUAAUUAAAACACCAAAACCAACCAGCCCAUCAGCACAUUAAAGAGACACCCAAGAUAAAUUAUCCUUACUUUUAUCUUCUCCCUAAUUAAGCUUUAAAAUAUCACUAAUCCAUCAUAGUUGGUUAAAAGAAAAAAAGGCCCUUUUCCAGAGCAUUAUGUUUUGAUAAUCAGCUGAUCUGUUUUCUCUCCAUCUUCAGGGUCUAUCAAGUGCUAAGUUGUUGUUUAGGAACAUGGUUUUCUUCACAUAGACCGUGCACCAGGCUUCCCAAAGUGCCAUGUGUCAUCUGACAUUAGAAAUGAGAUGGGUUUUUUAUAAUCUGACAGCCUCCUUAGGGACCACCAUUAUAAAUGAGGCAGUUUUAGCCAGUACUCAAAACUUAAUACAUUUGCUAAUAAUAAAUAUAUUAAUGCCUUUAGUGCUUGAGAGAGAGGGGGAGACCUCAAGAUAUGAAGAUGGCUUAAUUACAAAGAAAUCACUUUUGAUGGAUGGUAACAUGCAGCCUGCACUUUAAAACCAACUAGGCAACUUGACCUGGAGGCUGUCAUUUACAGUGGAGUUUUUUUUCUUUGCCUCAGCAAUCUUGUAUGGGUUGUAUCACUUUGCUCAAACGCGCUCAUUAUCCCCCAUCUUCUGCAUCCUAUGAAACCUUCCCACUAAUCAAAGGUUUUAUAGGAAAAUGAAAGAUGCUUCUAGCCUACCAUUCUUCCAGUACAUUACUGUCAGCAUUGAAAUUCACCAUUGAGCAAGCAGUCAGCAUGAGGCCCCAACACUACUUAAAUCCUAUUUGAAGGGAUUAACUGGGAUUUAAGGCUAAGGUUUUCAUGGGAGUCUAAGGUUGUGACUACUCUGCAGUCACUGCUGGGGCUGCAGCAUAGAUCAGCUGUAUCAAAGCUAGCUUUAAACUAGCUGCUGUGGGUACCAGCAGUAACAGAGAUCAGCCUGGGCUGCGAGCCCUGCCUGAGAAGUAGGGUAACUAUGUGCACUGAGAUUCAUGUUGCUACAGCUAUACUGUUAGUGUACCCAAGCCAGCUGGCAGCCGCUUUGGCUCUGGUAUAGAUGUACCCUACAUUGAUUACAUUCCUGAAAUGCAUGGACUGAUGUUGAAUUUGGGUGUCUAACUCUGGUAGGGCCUUUAAAGGACUCAGCCAACAUGGCACCUUGGCUUUCUGCUGGUUUUGCUGCACCGCAAUCCAACAAGUCCUUUGAGGUGCUUCAUGCAAUACAACUAGCCCCCUGGUGCAACACGGCAUAUCAAUGACACCAACCUUUUGGAAGAGUUUACAUCACUGACAGCACAAGCACUCAGGAUUAUCCAGGCAUAUGGACUCCCUUGCACUGGCUUGUUACCUUUCUGCAAACCUCUGUGCCUGUAUGCAAGCAAUGCUGACUGUGAUCAUACCCCCAGGAUGCAUUUCCCCAUAGCAGACUCAUCUGGCAUAAUAAAGGACAGUGGGACAUGGUUCUCUUUUUCCUCCUCCGGUGUUAAGGUUACACAUUUUUUCUCAGGUUUACAUUGUGGCUCUUUGAGCAGGCAAAGCCCAGUGGACUUGCUUGCUUGGACCCUGGGGAUCUGCUUGGACUUGCUUAGACCCUGGGAAUCUGCUUAGGUACCAGAUUACUGCUAUCUUGAUCUCUAAUUCAACAGAAAAUCCAGCAUGCACAUAAGUGUUCUACCAAAUCAUUCACUAAGUGCUGUAGCCAGCAGGCCUCUCAUCCUCAUCCUUCUUAGAGGGACACCGCAUGUGAUUUCAUAUUUAUUGAUAUAUUAUACACUACACAUGUUUGUUGGUACAGGCAGGACAAAGCAGCAUGCUUUGCACUUGGAUUGAAAAGUGGCUAUUGUUAGACCAUUAUGACCAUAUAUUUCAACAUUACGUAUUGAUAUACUGUGUUCUAGAGGAACAGGUGCAGUUAUUUUCUGGAAAGGUAUAUCAUGGCAGUUCCUUUUGGAGUGCUACUAACUGUGACUUUGUGGCUUUUUCCAUAUUGAUUUUAACUUUAUCUAAAAGGAAAAGAAAAAAAAUCGUUCAAAUAUUCACUCCCUUUUGAAACAUAGAACUCCUUGUGGUCUAUGCUAUCAUGGACUAAUACAGACCCUGAAAAGUUGCUACCUUUGAAAACUGAUCACCCAAACUUAAAAUGCAUCUGAGAACUAACAAACAGGGUACAUCUACAUGAGAUUUGUUACUGCACAUUAGCACAGUUUACUGCAUAGUAAGCAUGCAUGUCUAAGCGGGAUUAGUUACUGCACAGUAGUGCAUGUGUAGAUGUGACCUGGGAGCAAAUUUGUUUUUGCUCCCUCAGCUAUAAAAGCCUGAAGACAUUCUGUGCCCUGGGGGACACAACACAGACAGCCCUGGGCACUGCAGGCCAUGUGUGUCCCUUUGAACAGGCCAAAGUCUAUAUGUGCCUGCCUGCCAGCACCCCAGCGCUGCUGCUUGGCACUGCACUGCUGUGUGUGGCUGCCAGGGCAGUGCCGUCAGGGCUGGUUGGGUGCUAAAGGGUGCUGAAAGCUUCUGCAGCCCCUGGUCAGCCCUGUCAGUCUUCCAGGGCCACCUGCAGGCAGCUUCUGGGCAGCAGAACCAGCCCCACCUGCCUGUAGCACACCUCCAGCAGCCUGCCCUGCACCUGCAGGUGCUGUGGGACAUUGCCUCUGCCACGCAGCUGCCAAUCCCAUGCUGUGCCCCUGUGCUGCUGGGUGCUGCUGGCAGCUGCCUAGGGCCCACAACACUGGAACAGCUGUGCAGAGGCCCAGAGAGCUGACGCAGGACCCAGCAUGGCAGUCCACAUGCCUGUGCCCUCCACCCAGGGCCCCAACUGAAGCCAGGAGGAUACUGGUGACCUUGUGGUGCUCUGGUGUGGGCAGAGGUGUUGCACCAUUUUGAGCAGGGCAGGUGUUCCAAUGCCCACAUUUAUGAGCCCCUAUCAGGCCAGAUGAGGGAGUGAAAGCAUGACUGGUUGGUGCAGUAAUGAUACAUAAAGGUCAAGGCUUUGGGGGCACAGUGGGUCAUCAUGACCAACCAUAAUCGUCAGUCCAGCCGUGCUCACAAGACCAUGCCCUUUAUGUGGCAACUGAUGGCCAUUCUGAUGCCUGGGACCCAGGCCACAGCCAUGCAGUUUACACCAGAACCCCUGCCCUGGCCUGGCACCUCUGGUGAAAUGUCAGGGGAGGAGGGACCCGUGGGUGUGCAGGGGCCUGUCCCACCCAGAUCCCUGUCUGCAGUUUCCACCAGCAGCUCAGGGAGCUCUGGCCAGUACCUGCCUUGCCAGCUGCAUAGACCCAGGGCCAAACAUGAGGUGUGGCUGGCCAUGACGCUGCCAGCAGUGCCAGGUUCUCCCUGGGGGGGAGCCCCUGGCUGGGUGCCUACAUGGUGCACCCUACAGGCCAGUAAACAGGAGGAAUUGGCACUCCUUCUGGCUGAUGAGGAAUUCGACUUGAUUAGGUUGACAGAGACUUGGUGGGAUGAUACACAUGACUGGGCAGUGAAUACUGAAGGUUACAGGCUUUAUAGGAAGGAUCAGAUUGGGAAGAAGGGAGAAGGAGUGGCCCUCUACAUGAAAGAGCAGUACCCCCUCCCUGCAAGUCAUGUUUGACAACAGGGAAGGUUCCCUUGAGACCCUCUGGGUCAGGCUACAAGGGGGACCAGCACAGGGAGACCUGAUGGUGGGAGUCUACUACAAGCCCAAGAGGAAGAAAGUGAUUGAGCAUUCUCAGGAGAACUGACAGAGGCAGCUAGCACUUGAGACAUGAUUGUCAUGGGUGAUUUUAACUACCCAGACAUCUAUUGGAAAGACCAUUCAGCCGCCUCCAACAAGUCAGCCAACUUCUUGGCAACAACAGAUGAUCUGUUUCUGACACAGGCUGUGGAAGGGCCUACUAGGGGAAAAGCCACUCUGGAUUUAGUGUUGACUAAACGGGAGGACAUCAUAGGCGACCUGAGGAUUGGUGGUACCCUGGGCAACAGUAACACAACCUGAUAAGGUUCACCAUCCACCGUAAGACUGGGAAGUUAGUCACCAGAACAGAAGUCCUAAAUUUCAAGACGGCAGAUUUUGACAAACUCAAGAGGCUCAUUGGAGAGGCCUUCUGCAAUGGGCAACUGAAUGAUUUGGGAGUGCAGAAACGAUGGUGCUUCCUUGAGGAGGCAAUUCUCACAACUCAAAAACAGGCCAUUCCCAUGCAGGCAAAAAGCUGGAAAGGAGACAGGAGACCUGCUUGGCUCACCAGGGAUAUUAGGGACCUAUUGAAAAAGAAAAAAUAAGUAUAUAUACAAUGGAGGAAUGGUACAGCAACCAGGGAGGAAUAUACCUGUAUUGCCAGGGCCUGCAGAUACAAGACAUGGAAAGCUAAGGCAGGCAUGGAGAUCAAACUGGGCAACUGGUAUAAAAGACAACAAAAAGUCCUUCUAUGGAUACAUAGGGAGCAACAAAAAAUCAGGCUGCACUCUGGGACCCAUUCUGGACACCCAGGGGCAGCCCACAGUCAAUGCUUACAAAAAGGCAGAGCUCCUAAAUACAUACUUUGGUAUUCCUGAAAUCCAGCAGGGCUGCUCAGCUGGACAGAGGCCCAGGGAAUAGGGGGACGGCAACAGCCUACAUGAAAUCAGCCCAGAACUGGUGAGGGAUCUUCUACAAUGCUUUGACAUUUUCAAGUCUGCUGGGCCAGACAACCUGCAUGCGAGAGUCCUGAAAGAACUGGUCAAACUUAUAGCAGCACCACUAGCCAAGCUGUUUGAAGAGUCAUAGAACUCAGGAGUGGUCCUGGAAGAGGGCCAGUGUUGUGCCCAUCUUUAAAAAAGGGAAGAAGGAUGACCCUGCAAACUACAGACUGGUCAGUCUGAUCUCAGUCCUGGGUAAAAUUUUUGAAAAGUUGCUUAAGGAGGCCAUCAACUACAAGCUGAUAACAGGUGGGAUGCUAAAAGGCAACCAGCUUGGCUUUGUCAAGGCUAGAUCAUACUUGAUGAAUCUUGUGUCCUACAGCCAGGUAACUAACCACCUGGCUGAGGGACAUGAGGUUGAUGUCAUCUACUUAGACUUCAGUAAAGCCUUUGACUCUGUCUCCCACAGGAUUCUCUCUAACAAACUGGAGAGUACCAGGCUGGACCAGUCUACAGUGAGGUGGGUGGACAACUGGCUUAGCUGCUGCUUCCAGAGAGUGGUGAUCAAUGAGAUGGCCUCAUACUGGAGGGCCAUCUCCAGUGGUGUCCCCCAGGGAUCGGUGCUUGGACCUGUGCUAUUUAAUAUAUUAAUUAAUUACUUGGAUGAGGGGGUGAUAAGCUCAAUGAUUAAGGUCGUGGAUGAUACCAAGCUGUGCGGAAAUGUGGGCAAACCAGAGGAUAGGGCAAAGAUCCAGGAUGACCUUGACAGACUGAAAUGGGCAGAAUGAAAUCAGAUGAGGUUUAACAGGGAAAAGUGCAAGGUCCUUUUCCUGGGCAGGAAAAUUCCUCACCACAACUACACAAUGGGUGAUGAUCCACUGGCUGGCACAUCAUUUAAAUCGAGACCUGGGGGUCACGAUUGACUGGAAGAUGAAUAUGAGCCAACAGUGUGAUGAGGCUUCCAGAAAGGCAAAUAAAACUCUGGCAUGCAUCAGCCGAUGUGUAGCCAAUAAAUCCAGGGAGGUACUGGGCCUGUUCAGUCUGAGUAAGAGAAGGCUGAGAGGUAAGAUGAUAGCUGCCUACAAGUACAUAAGGGGGAGCAUCAAGAACUAGGAGAGCAACUAUUCAGGAUGGCACCUCAAGGGAGGAAGAGGACCAAUAGACAUAAACUAAUAGAGGGUAAAUUCAGGAUGGACACAAGGAAAAACUUCUUCUCUGUAAGAGUCACCAGAAUCUGAAACACACUCCCAGCAGAGGUGGUGCAGUCACCCUCCUUGGAGGUGUUCAAGAUGAGGCUAUGGCUACACCAGGGGCCGGGGCUCUCCCUUGUGGGAGUGGGGAGUAGGGAGCAGGGCACCCGGCUGAGGCAGAGGUGGCAGUGGAUCCUGGGAAGGUAAUUGGGGGGUGAAGGCAGGGAGGACCUGGCACAGAUGUGGAGGAUCCGGAGGGGCAUCCCCUUGGAGCCCUCUCAACUGAGCCAGCAUAGAGCCGCACUCCCAAGCCAUGCACAAACAGAGCAUGUAAAUAGGCGCACCCUGUAAGGGCACACUGGCGUUUGCGCUGGCAUUUGCACAGGCAGGUAAGCAGGAGGAGCCAGGAGGAAGUUUUCAGCAACGGAAAAAAGAAGGCACCACACACUACAGCAAUGGUAAGGACGUGGAGUGCUGCUAUGGACCCUGCCCAGGGGGCGUUGCCUACCCGGGGCUUCUCUGAGGCCUCCACCCAGAUGGGACCCAUGGGGGAGCUGGCAACACCCUGCCCCCCUGCUUGUGGGGGUUGCCCUGCAUGGCUGGGGGGGCAGGAAGCGGGGGACCCUCAACCUGUCCCACAUGUGCCUUCUUCAGGCCUUGGAGGGGCAGGUGAGGGAGCUGCAGGUAGAGGCUAGCAGGCUGAGGGGGAUCAGGGAUGUAGAGGAUGAAACUGAUGGGUAUUUCCGUUCUCUGCAGACCCAAGCUCCAAAUGGAGAAGCACCCCAGGAGGUGCUCUCCACAGUGGAAUAGCAGAAGGUUCCCUCCAGAGCCAGGGCUGCUUGCAGCAGCACAGUAUCAGCUCCCCCAGUCCAGCUGGGGAACAGGUAUGAGGCCCUGGCAAUAUUGGAGGAAGAGGAAGGAGAGGAGGAAACACUUGGAGAGGAGACCACUCCACGCACAGCACAGACUGAAGGAGGCCAGAACACCCAAAAGAAGAGAUGCUGGGUGCUCGUCAUAGGUGACUCCAUUCUGAGACGGAUGGAGGAGCCCAUCUGUUGCCCUGAUUCCAUAACACGUGAGGUCUCCUGUCUGCCCGGAGCUCAGAUUCAGGACAUGACAGAGAUGCUCCUGGACCUUAUCUGGCCCACUGAUUAUUACCCUAUGGUCCUAUUCCAUGUGGGCACUAACGAUGCAGCCGGGAACAGUCCAGAUCACCUCAUGAAGGAUUACAAGGUUCUGGGGGCCAAGCUGAAGUAAACAGGGGCACAGGCGGUCUUCUCAUCUGUUCUCCCAGUGAGCAGAUGUGGACGAUGCCAUGAGACCUGCAUUAGGGAGGUCAACUUGUGGCUCUGGAACUGGUGUUAUGAGGUUGGCUGAUCUCCUCCAGCGGGCUUUAAACUAGGUUCGUUGGGGGAAGGGGAGGACGAGGAUGGAGGGAUCCAUGGAACACUGAACCAUGAGAUACCCACAAGAUCAGCCCAGGAACCUAGACGAACCCUCAAUAUGCAUCACGGACACCAACAAGGGGAACAUAAGCUGACCAACUGUCAGUGCCAACACAGUAAAAAGACACUUGGAGGGACUGGAUGUGUUCAAAUCUCCAGGACCAGAGGGACUCCAUCCAUGGGUAUUGAAAGAAUUAGUGAAUGUCAUAGCUGAACCACUGGCAAGGAUAUAUGAGCAAUCAUGGUGCUCAGGUCAGGUCCUGGAGGACUGGAAGAGGGCCAGUGUCGCCCCAAUCUUUAAGAAGGGGAGGAAAGAGGAUCCGGGGAACUAUAGACCAGUCAGCCUUACCUCUAUCCCUGGGAAAAUCCUAGAAAAAAUUAUCAAGGAACACAUCUAUGGGAGCCCACUGGCUAAUGCGAUGUGGAGGGGUAACCAACAUGGGUUUAUAACAAGCAGGUCCUGCCUGACUAACCUAGUUUAUUUUUACGAUAAGACCACCAAAUGUUUAGAUGCAGGAGUCGAGGCGGAUGUUAUCUAUCUGGACUUCAAGACGGCCUUUGACACAGUAUCCCAUACCAUCCUUAUAAAUAAACUUAGGAGAUUUGCCUUG